CCUACGGGGUGCAGCAGGCGCGAAAACUUCACACUGCAGGAAACUGUGAUGAGGGAACUCCAAGUGACUGCACAUUGUGUAGCCUUUUCUCAACUAUUAAUCGGUUGUGGAAUAAGGGCUGGGAAAGACCGGUGCCAGCCGCCGCGGUAAUACCGGCAGCUCGAGUGGUCGUCGCUUUUAUUGGGCCUAAAACGUCCGUAGCCUGUUUGGUAAAUCUGUGGGUAAAUCAACCAGCUUAACUGGUUGAAUUCUGCAGAGACUGCCAGACUAGGGACCGGGAGAGGUGUGGGGUACUCUAGGGGUAGGGGUAAAAUCCUGUCAUCCUUAGAGGACCACCAGUUGCGAAGGCGCCACACUGGAACGGAUCCGACGGUCAGGGACGAAGCCUAGGGGCACGAACCGGAUUAGAUACCCGGGUAGUCCUAGGUGUAAACGCUGUGAACUUGGUGUCGGGAGUCCGCAAUGGGCCCCCGGUGCCGGAGUGAAGAUGUUAAGUUCACUGCCUGGGGAGUACGGUCGCAAGGCUGAAACUUAAAGGAAUUGGCGGGGGAGCACUGCAACGGGAGGAGCGUGCGGUUUAAUUGGAUUCAACGCCGGAAAACUCACCAGGGCCGACUGUUAUAUGAAGACCAGCGUAAUGAGCUUGUCGGAUUUUCAGAGAGGUGGUGCAUGGCCGUCGUCAGUUCGUACUGUAAAGCGUUCUGUUAAGUCAGAUAACGAACGAGACCCUCAUCUCUAUUUGCUACCUGUCUCUCCGGAGGCGGCGCACUAUAGGGAGACCGCUGGUGUUAAACCAGAGGAAGGCGAGGGCAACGACAGGUCAGUAUGCCCCGAAUGUCCUGGGCUACACGCGCGCUACAAAGGACGGGACAAUGGGAAGCCAGGCCGAGAGGCCGAGCUAACCCGAAACCCGUUCAUAGUUCGGAUCGAGGGCUGUAACUCGCCCUCGUGAAGCUGGAUUCCGUAGUAAUCCGUCCCUUAUACACAUCUGACGCUGCCGACGAUCUACCCCAUCUAUAUCACGGUUGUCUCCAUCUCUCUAAAAAAAG
rnacentral:rRNA from 1 species